GACGAACGCUGGCGGCGUGCUUAACACAUGCAAGUCGAACGAAGUGGCGAACGGGUGAGUAACGCGUAAUCAACCUGCCCUUCAGAGGGGGACAACAGUUGGAAACGACUGCUAAUACAGCAUACUGAAGGAGGGGAUUGCGGCUGAUUAGCUAGUUGGAGUGGUAACGGCCCACCAAGGCGAUGAUCAGGAGGCGGGCUGAGAGGAUGAACGGCGACAUGGGGAUUGAGACACGGCCCAGACUCCUACGGGAGGCAGCAGUGGGGAAUCUUCCGAAAUGGACGAAAGUCUGACGGAGCAACGCCGCGGGAGUGAUGACGGCCUUCGGGUUGUAAAGCUCUGUUAAUCGGGACGCGGUACCGGAAUAGAAAGCCACGGCUAACUACGUGCCAGCAGCCGCGGUAAUAC
rnacentral:rRNA from 1 species